AUGUUGUGCUUCAGCCAUUUCAACUGUUCUCUUGUUUCAACCUGCUGGAUUUAUUGUUGGUUUUAUUUCACUUUAUUUAUUUUUUCUUCCUUUUUGCUGGUUGGGUUCUUCCUGUUCCAUUUUGAGUUUCGACCUAGUUCUUGUUUACUUCUCCAUUUAUGUCUUCUUUUUUCGUAUAUUCCUCAUACUGUUUCCAAUCUGUUUGUUGUACAGGUUUUCCUUUAUGUUGUCUCAGCAAGAAUGUUAGUCUAUCCAUGUCAUAGAUGUCUUCCAUUGUCUCCAGCCAUUGUUCUAUUUUUGGUAUCUCCUGUGUUUUCCAAUACAGUAGAGUCUCACUUAUCCAACAUAAAUGGCCCAGCAGAACAUUGGAUAAGCAAAAAUGUUGGAUAAUAAGGAGGGAUUAAUGAAAAGCCUAUUAAACAUCAAAUUACGCUUUUACAAGUUAAGCACCAUAAAUAUCAUGUUUUACCACAAAUCAACAGAAAAAGCAGUCCAAAACAAGGUAACGUUAUGUAGUAAUUACUCUAUUUAUGAAUUUAGCACCAAAACAUUGCAAUAUAUUGAAAACAUUGACUACAAAAACAUUGGCUACUAACAAAUUCACUACAAAUAAAGAUAGAAUUCCAUAAAAUAAACUUAUAGUAGCAACAUUGUCAGAAAUUAAAUCCAUACAAAGUUCAAUCUUUGCUACCUAGAGAAACAGCUGUGGAGGCAAACUGUGUUGGAUAAUCCAGAACAUUGGAUAAGCGAAUGUUGAAUAAGUGAGACUCUACUGUAUUUAGCAAAAGUUAUUCUCGCCGCUGUUUUCAUGUAUGUAAAUAAAAUGUCCUUAUUUAAGUUGAAACCUGUGUCUUUGUUAUUCCUAGUAGAUAGUAUUCCGGUUUCAUUGGGAUGGUCUUCUUUUAAAAAAAAAUUUGCUUUCUGAAUGUAUAGCUUUCCAAAAUUUUGCAGUUUCUUCACAUGACCACCAAAUAUGGUAGUAAGAGCCCAAGUUGCAUUUACAUUUCCAACAGUUGUUUUGAGAAUUUUUAUACAUUAUGCCUAAUUUUUUCGGGGUUAUAUGCCAUCUAUGAAACAUUUUUAGCCAAUUUUCUUUUAAAACUGAUGUGUAAGUAUAGUUUAAUUUUUUGUUCCAAAAUUGUUCCCAUUCUUCACAUUUCAUUGAGCGGCCUAUUUUUAUUUAUUUUUUUGCCCAUUUUACCAUGUAAUUUUUAAUCUCUUCAGAUUCUGUAGACCAUUCCAACAACUUAUUGUAUAACUUUGUUAUAUUCUUUUUGUCAUUCUGAAGCAUUUUGUCCCAAAAUGUCUUCACUUCAUUAAAACCAAUUUGUUUGUCUUUUACAUAUUGUUCUUUGAUUUGGGCAUACUGAAACCACGAUAAAGUUUUAUAUGUCUGUUUUAUAUCUUCUUGAUUCUUCAGUUGGUAUCCAUCACUCUUUUUUAUCAAAAUUUCUUUAUACCUGGGCCACUUUAUCCAUCCAAGAAUUUUCCUUUGACUCGCUUCAAGGGGUGAUAUCCACAUCGGGGUUUUUUUAUAUUUUUCCCAUAUUUUUUAAUUAAGGAUGAUCUUACAAAAUGAUUACCAAAGUUUUUUCCACAAUUCUUUUAUUGUACCAAAUGUACGCAUGCCAUCCUCGUCUUAGAUCAAAACCUUCGAGAGAUAGUAUGUUGCUGUCAUUUAACAUUGCCCACUCUUUCACCCAUGUCAAGGAGCAAGCCUCGAAACACAAUUUCAAAUUUGGAAGUCCGAAACCUCCCCUAUUAUUUGUGUCAGUCAUAAUUUCAUACUUAAUUCUUAGUUUUUUUCCUUUCCAAACAAACUUUGAAAUUUCUUUGUUCCAUUCAUUGAAAAUCUUGGCAUUCCUUAUUAGGAGGUUUUGAAAUAGGUACAACAUUUUUGGUAAUAUGUUCAUCUU
ensembl:lncRNA